UACGUAGGGGGCUAGCGUUGUUCGGAAUCACUGGGCGUAAAGGGCGCGUAGGCGGCUGUUCAAGUCGGGGGUGAAAUCCCGUGGCUCAACCACGGAAUGGCCUUCGAUACUGGACGGCUCGAGACCGGAAGAGGUGAGUGGAACUGCGAGUGUAGAGGUGAAAUUCGUAGAUAUUCGCAAGAACACCAGUGGCGAAGGCGGCUCACUGGUCCGGUUCUGACGCUGAGGCGCGAAAGCGUGGGGAGCAAACAGG
rnacentral:rRNA from 1 species